rnacentral:rRNA from 1 species
GACGAACGCUGGCGGCGUGCUUAACACAUGCAAGUCGAACGGAAAGGCUCCAGCUUGCUGGAGUACUCGAGUGGCGAACGGGUGAGUAACACGUGGGUAAUCUGCCCUGCACUCUGGGAUAAGCCUGGGAAACUGGGUCUAAUACUGGAUAUGAGCUUUCUCCUUAUGGGGUUGGGUGGAAAGUUUUUCGGUGUAGGAUGAGCCCGCGGCCUAUCAGCUUGUUGGUGGGGUGAUGGCCUACCAAGGCUACGACGGGUAGCCGGCCUGAGAGGGUGAUCGGCCACAUUGGGACUGAGAUACGGCCCAGACUCCUACGGGAGGCAGCAGUGGGGAAUAUUGCACAAUGGGCGGAAGCCUGAUGCAGCGACGCCGCGUGAGGGAUGACGGCCUUCGGGUUGUAAACCGCUUUCAGCAGGGACGAAGCGUGAGUGACGGUAACUGCAGAAGAAGCACCGGCUAACUAUGUG